AGAAUCAACGCUGGCGGCGUGCCUAACACAUGCAAGUCGCACGAGAAAGGGGCUUCGGCCCUGAGUAAAGUGGCGCACGGGUGAGUAACACGUGAAUUAUCUACCUCCGAGUGGGGAAUAACCUAGAGAAAUCUGGGCUAAUACCGCAUAACACUUACGAGUCAAAGCAGUAAUGCGCUUGGAGAGGAGUUCGCGGCAGAUUAGCUAGUUGGCGGGGUAAUGGCCCACCAAGGCGAUGAUCUGUAUCCGGCCUGAGAGGGCGCACGGACACACUGGAACUGAAACACGGUCCAGACUCCUACGGGAGGCAGCAGUGGGGAAUUUUGCGCAAUGGGGGAAACCCUGACGCAGCAACGCCGCGUGGAGGAUGACGCCCUUGGGGUGUAAACUCCUUUCGAUCGGGAAGAUGAUGACGGUACCGAUAUAAGAAGCCCCGGCUAACUUCGUGCCAGCAGCCGC
rnacentral:rRNA from 1 species